rnacentral:lncRNA from 1 species
CCAGGCACCCACUGCCAUCCGAAGAGCGUCUCGAGCUCACGGGCUCCUGGCAGUCUGUUGAGCGAAUCCCUCAUCCCGGCCCCUCUGAGCAACAGGGACCCCAGCGGCUCAGAGACCCGCGGUCAGUACCUGGGACAGCGUCCGCUAAGUUUCCACCCCUCGACCAUUCCCUGUGUCCGCGGAGUCCCACCGCAGAGUGCGUGUGGGUCCGGGGCUCCUUAUAACUAGGGCUGGAAGUGCGCACCUGGGCUGGGCUCGCAGCCAAGGCGGCAACUUCAGGCUCCGAAGCGGUGUGUUGCAGAUCGAAGCGCUGCAAGAAGUCUUGAAGAAGCUCAAGAGUAAACGUGUUCCCAUCUAUGAGAAGAAGUAUGGCCAAGUCCCCAUGUGUGACGCCGGUGAGCAGUGUGCAGUGAGGAAAGGGGCAAGGAUCGGGAAGCUGUGUGACUGUCCCCGAGGAACCUCCUGCAAUUCCUUCCUCCUGAAGUGCUUAUGAAGGGGCGUCCAUUCUCCUCCAUACAUCCCCAUCCCUCUACUUUCCCCAGAGGACCACACCUUCCUCCCUGGAGUUUGGCUUAAGCAACAGAUAAAGUUUUUAUUUUCCUCUGAAGGGAAAGGGCUCUUUUCCUGCUGUUUCAAAAAUAAAAGAACACAUUAGAUGUUACUGUGUGAAGAAUAAUGCCUUGUAUGGUGUUGAUACGUGUGUGAAGUAUUCUUAUUUUAUUUGUCUGACAAACUCUUGUGUACCUUUGUGUAAAGAAGGGAAGCUUUGUUUGAAAAUUGUAUUUUUGUAUGUGGCAUGGCAGAAUGAAAAUUAGAUCUAGCUAAUCUCGGUAGAUGUCAUUACAACCUGGAAAAUAAAUCACCCUAAGUGACACAAAUUGAAGCAUGUACAAAUUAUACAUAAUAAAGUGUUUUUAAUAAUUGCC